GGCGGACGGGUGCGGAACACGUGGGCAAGCUGCCCCGGGGCGGGGGAUAGCCACCGGAAACGGUGGGUAAUUCCGCGUACGGUGGGUCUCUGGUAGGGAGGCUCAGGAAAGGACCGCGAGGUUCACCCCGGGAGGCGCCUGCGGCCGAUUAGCUGGACGGUGGGGUAACGGCCUACCGUGGCGAUGAUCGGUAGCUGGUCUGAGAGGACGGCCAGCCACACGGGGACUGAGAGACGGCCCCGACUCCUACGGGAGGCAGCAGCAAGGAAUCUUCCGCAAUGGGGGCAACCCUGACGGAGCAACGCCGCGUGGGGGAGGACGCCCUUCGGGGUGUAAACCCCUUUUCUGCGGGAAGAAGGGCGGGCGUGAGCUCGUCUUGACGGUACCGGAGGAAGAAGGACCGGCUAACUACGUGCCAGCAGCCGCGGUAAUACGUAGGGUCCGAGCGUUGUCCGGAAUCACUGGGCGUAAAGGGCGCGUAGGCGGCCUGAUAAGUAGGGGGUGAAAUCCUGCGGCUUAACCGCAGGGCUGCCUUCUAAACUGUCAGGCUCGAGCACAGUAGAGGCAGGUGGAAUUCCAAGUGUAGCGGUGAAAUGCGUAGAGAUUUGGAGGAACACCAGUGGCGAAGGCGACUUUCUGGUCUGUAACUGACACUGAGGCGCGAAAGCGUGGGGAGCAAACAGGAUUAGAUACCCUGGUAGUCC
rnacentral:rRNA from 1 species